ACGAACGCUGGCGGCGUGCUUUACACAUGCAAGUCGAACGGAAAGGCCCUGCUUUUGUGGGGUGCUCGAGUGGCGAACGGGUGAGUAACACGUGAGUAACCUGCCCUUGACUUUGGGAUAACUUCAGGAAACUGGGGCUAAUACCGGAUAGGAGCUCCUGCUGCAUGGUGGGGGUUGGAAAGUUUCGGCGGUUGGGGAUGGACUCGCGGCUUAUCAGCUUGUUGGUGGGGUAGUGGCUUACCAAGGCUUUGACGGGUAGCCGGCCUGAGAGGGUGACCGGCCACAUUGGGACUGAGAUACGGCCCAGACUCCUACGGGAGGCAGCAGUGGGGAAUAUUGCACAAUGGGCGGAAGCCUGAUGCAGCAACGCCGCGUGCGGGAUGACGGCCUUCGGGUUGUAAACCGCUUUCGCCUGUGACGAAGCGUGAGUGACGGUAAUGGGUAAAGAAGCACCGGCUAACUACGUG
rnacentral:rRNA from 1 species